rnacentral:rRNA from 1 species
AUUGAACGCUGGCGGCAGGCCCAACACAUGCAAGUCGAACGAGUGGCGGACGGGUGAGUAAUGUCUGGGAAACUGCCCGAUGGAGGGGGAUAACUACUGGAAACAGUAGCUAAUACCGCAUACCAUCGGAUGUGCCCACAUGGGAUUAGCUAGUAGGUGGGGUAACGGCUCACCUAGGCGACGAUCCCUAGCUGGUCUGAGAGGAUGACCAGCCAUACUGGAACUGCUAAACGGUCCAGAAGCCUACGGUAGGCAGCAGUGGGGAAUAUUGCACAAUGGGCGAAAGCCUGAUGCAGCAAUGCCGCUUGUAUGAAUAAGGCCUUCGGGUUGUAAAGUACUUUCAGCGAGGAGGCGUUACUCGAAGAAGAAGCACCGGCUAACUCCGUGCCAGCCGCCGCGGUAAUAC